GGCUUCUUACUCUCAUCCAAAAAACUGUAUGACUCUGUGAUCGAGGCCAUCAGAGUACUUUUUUUUUUCAAGCUGAUUGUCCCACUUUUGAGCCAGGUAGGUGCGACGCUUAUGUCUAUGGCAACGCGCUACAUUGGCAUUCACGAAAGAAAGGAAAAGCCCGUGACAAUUACCGUAUAUAUGUUGCUACAUAGACUUGGAUGCUCUCGUUUUCUUUUCGUCUAGAAGGACGACGUCCUCCAGAACGCAUCUGCCGCGUCGAUGACAUCAUCGCCUUCUCCUUUCGACAUGACGUUGUGCCAUCCGUAUUUGCAUCACAGGUCUAGACGUAAUAUAACAUUUUGAGGUUUUCUGAGCACGGUGUAUGAGUUUGUUCGUGUCCUGUCGUAUAUAAUGGCUCAUUGCAAAAGAAACCUUACGGAAGAACUGAAUGUUAUAGACACGGUUCGGAUUUUGUUCAUUUUUACAGAAAACAGAUGGGCAAAAAAACCGCAAAAUAGUGGUGAGAAUUCGAUGGACAGCCAGCUGGCUGUAACGAGGUGGUCACGCCUAUUUGACGGAUGCGGCCACAUACGCAAUAGAUGCCGGAAUUUCCAAUGAAACUACGUGCAAGGGCGAACGGGUUUUAUUAUUCACACCGCAUUCAACCCAGCUUGAACCGUGCCACAUUCUGACGGUCACAGUAUAGUGACACGAUUCCCACAGGCGCGUGAAUUCCGGACUGUCACCACACACAUGUUCCCACUUGUAAAAAAAACAAAACAAUAAAAAGGAAGAAGCGACUCGUCUGUAUACUCUCGGAAGUUCUUCGGAAUUUGUAUGAAAACGUAUUCACGCUCUAGCGCACGUAUACAAUCACCAUUGACAUUUAGUUCACAAGUAGGUACAUCUGGAACCAAAAUAAUAUGCGGUAGCCAGACGAAAUUUACGCAUGUAAAACGCGGACGUUGAAACCAUCAUAAUGUGGUGGAACUGUGGCAUCGGCAGAUGAUCAUAACGCUAAUUGUAUAAUAACAAACCAUAUUUCUAUAUGACAUGACGUGAUUUUCUCUUUCGCACAGUUCUAUGCUUUUUUUUCCCAGGGUUAUUAUUUAAGACAAAUUACUUGCCCGUCUUUCUAUUUUUAGCAAAUUGCUGUGAACGAACAUCAGUCUAAUUGAAACGAACACAAAGAGAAAAUUGAACUUCCCUUUUUCUUUUUAUGCCGUACAUACUACUUCCCUUUGAAUUGAAUGCCAAUAGCAAAACAAGAUUAUAACCGGUGAAAUUCUACUGUUACGUCAUUUCUUUCGAAUAUUGGGAUUGUUUUUACGUG